GACUCAGUCAUAUGACUCUGGGAGCUGAUUUGAGGCAGAAGAAGCAGAGAUUAUACUCCUUACCACCCGGGAUAACUCUGCCGUACGCGAACCCACAGAUGCAAUGUGCGCCAACCAAAAACGCUUUUUUGCUGCAUGCACUGCCAUCGCGUAGGUCUUCAAAUGGGUUCUAUACGGCAUCCUGUCAGAUUCGAGCCGAGUUCUUCUCCACUUGCGUUCCAGUCGCCUACCAAGCCAUUUCAUCCCCCGCAACUCCUCCGUGUACCAGGGGGCCAUCUUAGCAGCAUGCCUGGAGGGACACUUAGGAGCAAUAAUAUCUACUGCCCUGCAAUUGAAUCUAAGCUCCAGGUGCCAUUAAAGAACAUCUAAGUGUAUUGACCUUAGCAAAUCCAGCAUCUUUGAUGCCAGGAAAGCAAUUUCUAUGAGAUGAACAGUUUCCAGCUCUUGAUAAGAGUUUCUUGCUCACAUGGAAGAUUCCACCGCGAAUCAGAGCUGACUUGAUCAAAUCUAGACAGAUGGCAGGUCUCGUUGCAGCCCCUUGAGCAGCUGCCUCUGCUGACAAAGAUGCUCUACGUCUCCUCAGCUGAAAGAACAAGAGAAGAGUUGGGGAGAGACUGUCAGUGAAGCUACCCACCAUAUUCCUGAAGAUCAAGUACAUGCAAGAUCAAUAAUGUAAAAAAAAGAAGAAGAAGAAGAAGAGGGGGGAGAGAAGAGAAAAGAAGAUCUCAGACCAAUUAUUUUUCUACAAAAUACUUUAUAUGACAACAGGGGCAGCUCCCAAAGGGCAGCGUGUAACAACUGAGCCUAAUUAGAAUGAUUUCAGUGUAAUCAUUAACUAGCAUCUAACACCUACGAGAGUAUUUCUGUUUAAACUAAAACAUGACCUGCAUGGUGGAGAGGCCUUGUAAACUGUCUACGAAAUAAAAAUGUGACAGUAAAGGUCAGAGCGACACUCAUUUGAAUUUCAAGCAGGAAGCAGACUCCACGGUUGGUGUGUAUAGCAAGAGUGGUGGCUCUUUUUCUGAGCUCUCCUUGCCAACAGUAGCAGUUGGAGAAAUCCUCCAGGACUAAUUACUGAGGCUGCAAAACAAGUAUUAUUCUUUUGUCUCUCUCCCCAAUUUGGUAAAAUGCUUGCAUCCUAAUUGCACCGUGUCAAAAGAUAUGGUUUUUAUUUGUUGCUGUUUCAGGAGUGAAGGUCAUGAAUGGGAAAAGCAAAGUGGCACCUUUCAACUCGCUCCAGCCACCUGCCGACAGCUUCCUUGGUGGUCCUUCUAAUCACAUCUCCUUGUCAGUAAAGGAGUAGAAGGUUGGCUAAUAAACUCUCCUCCCAGCAAGAGCGAUGCUAACACAUUGCCUUCCACUGAGCUGUGUAAAAGCAACCAUCAAAUCAGCAAGAUGCAACUUGAUUUGCAGGUCUCUGGUGAAAUUUAAGAAGAGAAAACUGUAAAACAUUCAGGGGGGAAAGAAGUGUGAAAACAGUUUGUUUGUUUUUAAGGCAAGGCAUUUAAAAAGCCAUACACAGAUAUCAGAAUAAAAAAAGUUGAUGGAGA